AAUGUUAUAAAACAUAAGAAUAAGAGAUGAAGUUUAAUUUCCGAGCCUUGGGGCAAAAAUGUAAUUAUGUAAAAGUUUAGGGGCAAAAUUGUAAUUUUGAAAAAGUUAGAGUCGAGGGCUGUUUUGAUGAAUGUGAUUAUUAAAUAAGUUAAAUUUACUAUUUUAGAUCAAGAAGUACGAAACUCGAGGUUAGACAAAGGGAAGAAUAAAGUUGAAGACUAAGUUGGUGAAUUUGGCUAUAAUUGGUACCGAGUAUUGCAAAGCUACUUCAAGGAUCCUAAAGAAGUCGGAGAUCGUCCACACUAUCAACCACAACUGCUUUCGGUAUUUUAUAUCGAAACACGUUUGAGUUAUGGCAUGUAUAGGGAUUUAGUUAUUUUGUAUGUUUGUGAUUAUGAUUUUGCUAAAGAAUGGUGUGUAAGUAUUUGAUGAUGUAUGGUUAUUAAAAUGGUUAAGUA